CCCCUAGUGGUGCAGCGGCCCAGCACAAGUAAAAGACAACGGCAGCUAUGCUCAACUUUCACCGAAGCUUAACGUUCGAUUCCCACUCGGGACGCACGGGUUAGGUUUUUCUACCUGGUAGGUAGGACCCAGCAAACUUAGAGCGGGAGCGCCCUUCUAUACGGCCAAGUGUUUAGUUGUGGGGAUCUGAUCCUGGUGCUUUCUACAUAAGACCCUGGUUCGAAUCCAGGCUAGGGGG